CAGGAAGUAGUUUAAGUAAAAUAUUAGUUUUGGGGGCUGAAGAUAGGGGUAAACUUUCUUCCUGA
rnacentral:tRNA from 1 species